UACGAAGGGGGCUAGCGUUGCUCGGAAUCACUGGGCGUAAAGCGUGCGCAGGCGGUUCGUCGUGUCCGAUGUGAAAGCCCCGGGCUCAACCUGGGAAUGGCAUUGGAAACUGGCGGGCUUGAGUGUGGGCAGAGGGGGGUGGAAUUCCGCGUGUAGCAGUGAAAUGCGUAGAGAUGCGGAGGAACACCGAUGGCGAAGGCAGCCCCCUGGGCUAACACUGACGCUCAGGCACGAAAGCGUGGGGAGCAAACAGG
rnacentral:rRNA from 1 species